rnacentral:rRNA from 1 species
UACGUAGGGGGCUAGCGUUGUCCGGAAUCAUUGGGCGUAAAGCGCGUGUAGGCGGCCCGGUAAGUCCGCUGUGAAAGUCGGGGGCUCAACCCUCGAAAGCCGGUGGAUACUGUCGGGCUCGAGUACGGAAGAGGCGAGUGGAAUUCCUGGUGUAGCGGUGAAAUGCGCAGAUAUCAGGAGGAACACCAAUUGCGAAGGCAGCUCGCUGGGACGUUACUGACGCUGAGACGCGAAAGCGUGGGAGCAAACAGG